rnacentral:lncRNA from 1 species
GAUCGGACGGCCCAGAUUUAAACGCACGGACGGCCCAGAUUCAAUCAAAAACGGACGGCCCAGAUUAAAACAAAAUGGACGGCUGAGAUCAAAAGGCAAGGGGUUAUAAAUAGAACCCCCACACCAGACCACAAACCCUAGCCGCCUGCCGCUCGCCGGAGAAGACGAACCAGAAGCCGGCCGCCGCCACCCGCCGCCGC